AGUGAACGCUGGCGGUAGGCCUAACACAUGCAAGUCGAACGGCAGCACAGUAAGAGCUUGCUCUUACGGGUGGCGAGUGGCGGACGGGUGAGGAAUACAUCGGAAUCUACUUUUUCGUGGGGGAUAACGUAGGGAAACUUACGCUAAUACCGCAUACGACCUACGGGUGAAAGCAUGGGAUCUUCGGACCUUGCGCGAUUGAAUGAGCCGAUGUCGGAUUAGCUAGUUGGCGGGGUAAAGGCCCACCAAGGCGACGAUCCGUAGCUGGUCUGAGAGGAUGAUCGGCCACACUGGAACUGGGACACGGUCCAGACGACUACGGGAGGCAGCAGUGGGGAAUAUUGGGCAAUGGGCGCAAGCCUGAUCCAGCCAGACCGCGUGGGUGAAGAAGGCGUUCGGGUUGGAAAGCCCUUUUGUUGGGAAAGAAAAGCAGCAGGUUAAUACCCCGCUGUUCUGACGGUACCCAAAGAAUAAGCACCGGCUAACUUCGUG
rnacentral:rRNA from 1 species